rnacentral:rRNA from 1 species
AUUGACCGCUGGCGGCAGGCUUAACACAUGCAAGUCCAGCGAGCGGCGGACGGGUGAGUAAUGUCUGGGAACCUGCCUGAUGGAUGGGGAUAACUACUGGAAACGGUAGCUAAUACCGCAUACCAUCAGAUGUGCCAAGAUGGGAUUCUCUCGUAGGUGGGGUAAUGGCUCACCUAGGCGACGAUCCCUAGCUGGUCUGAGAGGAUGACCAGCCACCCUGGAACUGAGACACGGGCCAGACUCCUACGGGAGACAGCAGGGGGGAAUAUUGAACGAUGGGCGCAAGACUGAUGCAGCCAUGCCGCGUGUGUGAAGAAGGCCUUCGGGUUGUAAAGCACUGUCAGCGAGGAGGCGUUACUCGCAGAAGAAGCACCGGCUAACUCCGUGCCAGCAGCCGCGGUAAUAC